UGUUUCGACAGUCACUACCAUCUGAAUACAUAGGAUGGUUAGAGCGAACGCGGAGAACUGAAACAUCUUAGUACCCGCAGGAAAAGAAAUCUAUGAGAUUCCCUGAGUAGCGGCGAGCGAAACGGGAACAGGCCAAACCGGUAAGUUUACUUGCCGGGGUUGUAGGACUACAACAUGGUAUGGUGCGAGAUAGCAGAAUAAUCUGGAAAGUUUAGCCAUAGUGGGUGAUAGCCCCGUAUGCGAAAUUUCAAUCCAACCUAGUAGCAUCCUGAGUAGGACGGGACACGAGAAACCUUGUCUGAAUCCGGGGGGACCACCCUCCAAGCCUAAAUACGUCUCAGCGACCGAUAGUGAACCAGUACCGUGAGGGAAAGGUGAAAAGUACCCCGUUGAGGGGAGUGAAAUAGACCUGAAACCAUGGACCUACAAGCAGUUGGAGCACUAUGUCUUCGGACAGUGUGACAGCGUACCUUUUGUAUAAUGGGCCAACGACUUAUGGCUCAGUGGCAAGGUUAAUGCGUCAGCAGGAGCCGUAGCGAAAGCGAGUCUUAAUAGGGCGACCAUAGUCACUGGGCAUAGACCCGAAGCCAGGCGAUCUACUUAUGAGCAGGUUGAAGCGAUGGUAAGACAUCGUGGAGGACCGAACCCACAUCGGCUGAAGACGAUCGGGAUGACUUGUGAGUAGGGGUGAAAGGCCAAUCAAGCCUGGCAAUAGCUGGUUCUCUCCGAAAGCUAUUUAGGUAGCGCCUCAUGUAUUACCAGCGGGGGUAGAGCACUGGAUGGGCUAGGGGGCCGCGAGGCUUACCAAACCUAACCAAACUCCGAAUACCGGUGAGUACAAUCAUGGGAGACAGACGGCGGAUGCUAACGUCCGUCGUCAAGAGGGAUACAACCCAGACCGUCAGCUAAGGUCCCCAAGUGUAUGUUAAGUGGAAAACGAAGUGGAAAGGCAAUAACAGCCAGGAGGUUAGCUUAGAAGCAGCUAUCCUUUAAAGAAAGCGUAAUAGCUCACUGGUCGAGUCGGUCUGCGCGGAAGAUAUAACGGGGCUCAAACAUACCACCGAAGCUACGGGUGCAUUUAUGCACGGUAGGAGAGCGUUCUGUAAGCCUGCGAAGCGAUACUGUAAGGAGUCGUGGAGGUAUCAGAAGUGAGAAUGUUGGCAUAAGUAGCGAUAAAACGGGUGAAAAACCCGUUCACCGAAAGCCCAAGGUUUCCUGCACCAUGCUAAUCAGGGCAGGGUUAGUCGGCCCCUAAGGCGAGGCAGAAAUGCGUAGUCGAUGGGAAACAGGUUAAUAUUCCUGUACCGACUUUAGAUGCGAUGGAGGGACGGAGAAAGGUAGCUGAUCCAGGCGUUUGGUUGUCCUGGUUCAAGCAAGUAGGCGGAGAGAUUUGGCAAAUCCGGUCUCUCAUUCAACGCUGAGAUGUUAUGACGUGUUCUUACCUCGGUUCGAACGAAGUCAGUGAUCCUAUGCUUCCAAGAAAAUCUUCUAAGCUUCAGUCUAAAGUUGACCGUACCGUAAACCGACACAGGUAGGCGAGGCGAGAAGCCUAAGGUGCUUGAGAUAACUCUGGUUAAGGAACUCGGCAAAUUGGCCCCGUAACUUCGGGAGAAGGGGUGCCCUUUGUAUGUGAAGCGAUUCGCUCGUGGAGCAGAAGAGGGUUGCAGUGACCAGGGGGUAGCGACUGUUUACUAAAAACACAGCACUCUGCUAAGACGUAAGUCGACGUAUAGGGUGUGACGCCUGCCCGGUGCUGGAAGGUUAAGAGGUGGGGUUAGCCGCAAGGCGAAGCUCUGAAUCGAAGCCCCAGUAAACGGCGGCCGUAACUAUAACGGUCCUAAGGUAGCGAAAUUCCUUGUCGGGUAAGUUCCGACCUGCACGAAUGGCGUAACGACUUCCCCACUGUCUCAACCAGAGACUCAGCGAAAUUGAACUUGCUGUGAAGAUGCAGCAUACCCGCGGCUAGACGGAAAGACCCCGUGCACCUUUACUACAGCUUGACAUUGGAUCUAGGCAUGUUUUGUGCAGGAUAGGUGGGAGGCUUUGAACCGGUAACGCCAGUUAUCGGGGAGCCACCCUUGAGAUACCACCCUGAACAUGCUUGGGUUCUAACCACGACCCGUUAUCCGGGUUUGGGACAUUGUCUGGUGGGUAGUUUGACUGGGGCGGUCGCCUCCUAAAGAGUAACGGAGGCGCGCGAAGUUACACUCAGGCUGGUCGGAAAUCAGCCAUUGAGCGCAAGAGUAUAAGUGUGACUGACUGCGAGACUGACAAGUCGAGCAGGGACGAAAGUCGGUUCUAGUGAUCCGGUGGUUCCGAGUGGAAGGGCCAUCGCUCAACGGAUAAAAGGUACGCCGGGGAUAA
rnacentral:rRNA from 1 species